GACGAACGCUGGCGGCGUGCUUAACACAUGCAAGUCGAGCGGUAAGGCCCUUUCGGGGGUACACGAGCGGCGAACGGGUGAGUAACACGUGGGUGACCUGCCCUCAGCUCUGGGAUAAGCCUGGGAAACCGGGUCUAAUACUGGAUAUGACUCCAUGACGCAUGUUGUGGGGUGGAAAGCCUUGUGCGGCUGAGGAUGGGCCCGCGGCCUAUCAGCUUGUUGGUGGGGUGAGGCCUACCAAGGCGACGACGGGUAGCCGGCCUGAGAGGGCGACCGGCCACACUGGGACUGAGACACGGCCCAGACUCCUACGGGAGCAGCAGUGGGGAAUCUUGCGCAAUGGGCGAAAGCCUGACGCAGCGACGCCGCGUGAGGGAUGACGGCC
rnacentral:rRNA from 1 species